CCAGGAGAACUGGAACCCAAGCUGAACCCUUCUUGGAUGAUAAUGUGGCCACUAAACAACCAUUUAUAUCUGCUGUAUCAACAUGAAUGAUCUCAUUCAAGAAAUCUACUCACAGUUCCAGAAAUUUCACUCUGUGCUCUCAUAAACACUUUUCCUUUAUAAAUUACACUUAUCACUGAGUAUAGGCCACUGGACAGGUACAUCUGUACAAAGAUAGGAAAUAUAAAUUGCUACCUAACUGAAAACCUUCUGCCACCUGUUUGGAUACACAAAAGCAGAAAGCAAUGUAUUUUAUUUUUGAAGAAAAGAAAGAGAUCAGGCUCUGAACACCGACUCUGUGCUACCCACUAAGAUAUUUUGCACUCAUCUAUUUUUAUUCUCCAAACUACUUCAUGAGAGUUCAAAUGGUGCCAGCUCUUCUCAUUGAUAAAUGGACUCAUCGUUCCUUCCAUUGUGGAUCAUAGAACACCUGUCUUCUAGGAAACAAAAGUCCAGUUCUCUAACAGCCUAAGUUUCCAUUAUCCUCACAAGAGCAAAGAUUGGAUGAUACAGAGAUGAACACCAAAACUAUUUUAGAAACUACAUGUGGAAGACCACUGAGAUAUAAAACUUAGAAAAAAAUUGGUCCUGAAUCAAUGCCUUGAAGACAGUUGCACAGGGUACCACCAGGCUGAAAUCCAGGUGUUCACCAGGAUUUUUCUUCACCCGGAGGCUCAACUGGAGAAGAUUCUGCUUCCAAGCUCCAUCACAUUGUUAGAAAAUUAACUUCCUGUGGCUAGAGGAUUCGUGGCACCUUGCUUCUUCAAAGCCAGCAAUGGAAAGAGUCUUCUGCUCCAAGACUGACAUGUAGUCACUCAGAAAGGGAUCAUAUAAUGAGAAGAGAACAAUCCAAUAAUGAGAACAUCCUGGAGGAUCACAGAGUCCAGAGUCCCCAGAGAGAGGGAGAGCAAUCAUGUCUUCUAGAUGGAGAGUUACUUAC